UCCGCCCUACGGGGGCAGCAGUGGGGAAUUUUGGACAAUGGGCGCAAGCCUGAUCCAGCUAUUCCGCGUGUGGGAUGAAGGCCCUCGGGUUGUAAACCACUUUUGUAGAGAACGAAAAGACACCUUCGAAUAAAGGGUGUUGCUGACGGUACUCUAAGAAUAAGCACCGGCUAACUACGUGCCAGCAGCCGCGGUAAUACGUAGGUGACAAGCGUUGUCCGGAUUUACUGGGUGUAAAGGGCGCGUAGGCGGAUGUGCAAGUCAGUCGUGAAAUACCGGGGCUCAACCCCGGGGCUGCGAUUGAA
rnacentral:rRNA from 1 species